UUCCUUCCAACUGGGUUUAUAACUUUGAAGCCCCUGCACCCUGGGAAUGGUGAAGCCACCUCUGUCCGCCGCUCCGCACCCGCCCUCGAGACCCCGGCUCAAGGAAUUUUCUAAGUUGCUCACCAGAAUGUCUGGGUCCAUGUGAGGCUGAGACACUGAGGAAGUCACUGCUUGCAGCCGGAAGAUUUCCUAAGUUCUCCGCAAACUGGAGACUCGCCUCCUGCAUGACGGUGCUCCCCGUCCGUCAGCCGUCGCUUCUUUCCUUUCCCUGUUCGUGGGCAGCCAGGAGCGUCCCGGGAAUGUCACACACAUCCCACCUGGGGUAAGGUGUGAGGCUGAACAGCAAAGACAGACUGUCCCUAGGACAACUUGCUGUUUUCCAGUUGGCCCACCUGUCCAGAAAUGGCCACAGCACAACACAACUCUGGUCCCAGCCCCGGGCAUCCCUGGGGGCCCCGUGUCUCAGAAUUGACAGAGCUUGGCCGACUCAGUGGGCUCACCGGCCGCAGAGGCCGCAGAGGCAGAGGCCUGUGCCCAGCAAUGUAAGAACUAAGUCUGCCCCGGGCCAGGGAGCCCUGAAAAGGCAGGGACCUGAUGGCCCCCAGCUGCAGCCUCACUCUGCCUGGUGUGAGAGCAUUCUUGGAAAAUGCUCAGGAACCCGGAGCCUGGAGCCAGGACCCAGCAGAGGACCUGAGUCUGCCCCACCGAAGGUCAUAUCCCCACGUGGGUGAUGCCCAGCCCCACCGGGGAGUCCCAGGACGCAGACAUGGAUGCAAAUACUGGUACUCAUGCGGACCUAACAGCACCUGGUGCCAGCCUGCCCAGUGCGCGGGGAACGGUCCUGCACAGCUCUGUGCGCGUGGUCACACCGGAUGCUAUGACCCUGCCAGUCAGAUGCCGGCAUUUUCUGCAGUGUUCAGAUGAGGAAACUGAGGCUUGAGAGGUGAGGGAGCUUGCUCAGGAUCUGUCACUGGGUUCCGGUCAGGAUUCUGCACACCUCCCAGCCCCCCUGGCCUGCCCACCUCCAAGCCCGGGUCCUGUCUGCCUUUUCUGGGUCACAUCCUGGUCUCUCCACAUCCUGGUCUCCCAGGCAAAAUUACAAAGAUUUCUUUUAGCUCAGCAAGCCUUGGUGGUUGAGUGUGUGGAGGGUUGGGGUGGUAAGGGGAGUGUAGCAGGGGGAGGGGAUGGACCUGUGCCCCUGCAGAGAACGGCAGGAACUGGAAAAGGCGAGGAUGGUCCACUUUGCGUUGUUUGGACGGCGAGGUCGUGGCGUGAUUUCCUUCUCACGUUUCCGGACAUCUCGGAUCAUCGUUACAUGAAUCUCUGUGCAACCAGAAUCAGUAAUAGAUGAGAGGCCCUAAGUGAUGGGCCGAGGGGCCACUCCUGGGAUGCUCUCAUGCAGACUGAGGGCCUCCCCCGGCUGUCUGGAUGGCCCCACAUCGCCUAGCAACCCGCUUGCUCACUGCCGUUGCUAGGAAACCGGGCACAGAGCCAGGGCUCCUGACUAAUGCCAGUCUCUUCUGGUCAUGCUCCCUAGCAUAGUGUCUGCUCACACCUGGGAAUUCAUCUUCCUCCCCUGCUCUCCCUCCAAGCUCCCCUCCUGCCUGGGGCUUACCCCCCAGGAGCACUGGAUGGCCCCUGACAGUUGGACAGCCGAUGACCACAGUGCGGGGACCCACGGGACCUCCUUCCUCGCCCCCUGCUCCAAGAUUACGCCCAGACCGGAGCACGUGCAUUGCAUGCUUCCUUCAGAAAAGCCCAGGGCUCCUCACACCCGGCAGCCCCUGACCCAACAGAAGCAUUAAAUCUGUGAUCCUUGAAUGAACUCUGACGGGCGUCACUGGACAUCGCUAAGUGGCUUACUGUAGGGAGAGGAGAGUUCGUCCACGAUGGAUUCUCGGAGCGCAGGGACUCUGAAGACCCCCCUGCCCCUUGUCCAUCACGGUAGAGAACGGUCCACGCAGGCUUACACUUCUCAUCCCAGCACCUUCAACCUGUGGCCCUAGGGAAGUUACUCCCACUUGCACCUGACCGCCCAUGACCGUCCCCUUCGAUGGUGCGCCGGAAAGGCUCCCGACCAGGGCGGGCUGAGACAGACAACCUCCGAGACGGGUCCUCCCCUGGGACCAGGGACAGCUUCUUCCAAGUGGGAAUGUUGAUGUGAGCGCCCGGUCCCCUGGCUGGCGGAGGCUUUCCCGGGCUGGGUCCCGGCUCCAUCACAGCCCAGACUACCUUCUGCAGAGCCAACCACAGAUCUAAAGAAGCAGUGGUGUUUCCAUUGCCUCUGCCCUGAAAUGACCAAGGACUGUCCCUGUCUCCUGAGAGCCAGGGGGUGGGGAGAGAGCCAGAGAAAGGGCAGGCCCUUCCUCCAGCUCGGGAAGACCACGAGCCCGCCCGUCGGCCGGACAAUCCAGGGCGGAGGGUGUUCUCUGCAGAAGAGGGAGGGGUGACCCCUCAUAUUUUCCAAAGACAGCCGCACCCGUCUGAACCCUGCAGGUGCAUCCACCCCAGCCACGUGCUCUUCCAAUGCCACGAACUGAGAGGCGGGUCGGCUCCCUCCCCUGCAAUUGGGGCAGGGGAGGGGGUGGGCGUGUGUUUGCGCUGAUCAUGGGAAUUGGUGCCAGAGAUGGUGUGUGACAGCCGAGGCCAGGUCAUGGAAGGAUACGACGUCUGCUCCUCUCCAGCUAAGAGCUGAGCCCUUCCCGACUAUUUCUUACCUCCUUGAAUACACCUCGCUGGAAGGCGGAUACUCAGCAGUUUAUAAUUCACAAUCACCCAGAAGGGCCCCGGGCAAUGAGGUUUGUGGACUGACCAUCUGAUGGUUGCCCCCUGGAUGACUGACUGUGCACCAGCCCUGGGGAACAAGUGGACCCCGCUGGCUCAGGGUGUUAGGCCCACGUUUCCAAUAUCACCCCAAAAGGAACCAGAGACUACCAGGGAGACUGAGUCACACAUGCAAAAGCAAAGGGCUUUAUU